GUGAUUCGCUCUAGUCGUUUGACAACGGCAAAAAGUCGACUUCGCCUCCCGCCAAGUCCUUCACAAGCUCAUGGCGAAAGUUGACUAACCAUGUCACGUCGAGUCAUCGAUUCUAUUCGAACCACAAACGUACCUCUCUUUGUUGCCAACGACCAAGCGGCAUUCCUCAGCAGCAUGACACUUCUGGCGUCGUACGCUCCCGAAGCCUUCUAUCGCUUCUGUUUUCGAGGGAGAAGGGUCUGGGCUCGGCCCUGAGCCAUCGCCACGAUAGCAACCCGUAGAGGGAGUCACAGCUUUGCAUGAAGAGAGCGCAGACGGGUCGGAAUUUUACGGUUUGAUCUCCCGUCUGGAUUCUCCUUCCGUUGCUUGGUUCACCACGGACAGCAUCGCGUGCCCAGAGUCCGACAUCCCAUGGAACAGCUUGCGCUUGCUUGCGCUUGCUUGCGCUCGCUUUUGCAGUGGACAGCGUACGCAACGAGGCAUCGCGCCGAAGAAGCCCGUGAUCGUCGGGUGCGGCAUCGAGCGCGGAGACUGAGAACGGCAUCUACGGAAACCUCUUACACUCGUCAAGGGCAUGUAGCGCGCGUUCAAGUCAGCGUUCAUGGUCCGCAUGGCGGCCGCCGGCCAUGGCGACGUGGACGAUAUGUUAGAACGCAUGUCGACAGCGGAGUGCAUCUGUUUCGAAUGACGCGCCGAGACUGUACGUACAGAAGAUGAGAAUGGCAAGCGAAGCGUUCAUCGGAACUACAGUCUGUGCAGGAAAGGCGUGGACAACGGGCUGAAGCGACGAAAUCUUGACUUGUACGGGGACGUCCAUAUCCUUCGACUGCCGAGAGCGCAGCUGGAGCGACAUGAGAGACGGGCGCAUCUAAACUCGGAGGUGGGAGAGCAAAAGGAAGCAGCUGCAUAAAUAUCCCGCAAAGGUUGGUGUUGAUGACAAUAUGAAGGGACCCAAAUUUUCGCGUAUAUGCCCAAGUAAGAUGAAGCGACCCUUUCCAUUUUUUAUGACAUGGUUGUAAUAGAUGCCGGUCAGCUUUCUUCAGGAUGCAUUCCGAGACGGGGAGCUCCGGAAAAAUUUUUGAACUUUCCAAAUUUUGGAGAGAGCACAAAGCGCGCUCAAUCAGACUGGAUGGCAUGCAGUAGAAAAACUGAGUCGAAAAACAUGUAUUCUAUAAGGAGAAUAAAUCUUAAUCGAACGAAAAUCACACGAUAAUAGCAGAUCAUGUCAGUCUCGCGAACAGAGCGAUGAAAACGAGAAUUUACACAAAGCCUCCACAAGGAUGCGCGCGAAAGUCUUCCUGCAACGCUGUGCGCACAGCCUACUAUGCGAGCUUCAGCUCAAUUUUCCGAGACUCAGCGAAGUGCAAGUGCGAUUUCCUGAUCAUCGAGUUGGCUGCCGAUCUCUUCCUCGCUAGAAAUCACGUUUGCCGACUUGAAGGGACGCAGCGCGUCGCGUACGUGCUGCUCAGAUCUGGGUAGACCGUAAACUCGAAAGGGCAUCAGGUCAUCCAGAGAGAAUCGCGGCACUCUUCUGACCUCAUCAACAAAAAGUUCGAAGACAAAAGCGAAUUCUGGGAGUGUUGUAAUCGCUUGCAGCAACUCCAACGGAAUCCUUUCCAUCAGAUUUGGCAUCAUGUGUAUCAGGCGCCCGAGUCUCAUGCGACGAACUUGCUCUCUGUAAAAGUCAGAAAAAGAGAGAUGAGACGCGUAUGCUCCCAAUACGUAAAGCACGCCAGUCAUGC